rnacentral:lncRNA from 1 species
UCCCCUCUAAAACAAUAAUGAGUGAUUCUAUGAUAAUGAGCAAAAAAAUCCUAAAAGUGGCUUCUGUUUACAUUGAAAACUUGUUUAAUUGCGUUCUUAUUGAACAGAAAGUGUCGUUAUCGUCCUGCUCCUUAAAUUCGCCUUUUCAGAAUGUAAUGCAUUCUGGGAUAUAUUUUUAAAAAGCGUUACCAAACCGUUUUCAUUGGUUAAAAACAUCUAAAAGCAUAAGAAAUUUAACCAAUGAAACGAAGUUAUUUCCAUUUUAGAGUACAAACAAUGAAAUAACCCAAAGCGUUUAAAUUUUUAAACAGG